AAAAAGACAAACCGCGGGUUUGCGUGCUAACGUUUGACUGUCCGUCUUAUAUAAAUUUUUUUAUAAUUAGUAUUUUCAUUGUUGUUAGAUGAUAAAACAUGAUGAAUACUUUAUGCGUGACUUAUCUUUUUAAUUUUUUUCAUAAUUU
rnacentral:pre_miRNA from 1 species